rnacentral:rRNA from 1 species
GAUGAACGCUGGCGGCGUGCCUAAUACAUGCAAGUCGAACGAGGUGCUUGAGUAGCAAUACGAGAGUAUCCUAGUGGCGAACGGGUGAGUAACGCGUUGGUGACCUACCCCAAAGUGUGAGAUAACAGUCCGAAAGGAUUGCUAAUACCGCAUGUGGUUAUCGGAUUUAGAAACUGAUAUCUAAAGGAGCAAUUCGCUUUGGGAGGGGCCUGCGUCCCAUCAGCUAGUUGGUGAGGUAAUGGCUCACCAAGGCUACGACGGGUAGGGGACCUGAGAGGGUGACCCCCCACAAUGGAACUGAACACGGUCCAUACACCUACGGGUGGCAGCAGUAGGGAAUAUUGCUCAAUGGGCGGAAAGACCUGAAGCAGCAACGCCGCGUGUGCGAUGAAGGCCUUCGGUC